rnacentral:rRNA from 1 species
AACGAACGCUGGCGGCGCGCCUAAUACAUGCAAGUCGAGCGAGAAGACGUAGCAAUACGUUUGUAAAGCGGCGAACGGGUGAGGAAUACAUGGGUAACCUACCCUCGAGUGGGGAAUAACUAGCCGAAAGGUUAGCUAAUACCGCGUACGCUCCUUGGACUUCGGUUCAGGGAGGAAAGCGAUACCGUGGGUAUCGCGCUCUUGGAUGGGCUCAUGUCCUAUCAGCUUGUUGGUGAGGUAACGGCUCACCAAGGCUUCGACGGGUAGCUGGUCUGAGAGGACGAUCAGCCACACUGGCACUGCGACACGGGCCAGACUCCUACGGGAGGCAGCAGUAAGGAAUAUUGCGCAAUGGGCGAAAGCCUGACGCAGCGACGCCGCGUGGGGGAUGAAGGUCUUCGGAUUGUAAACCCCUUUCGGGUAGGGAAGAGUGGGACGGGCGAACCGUU